GGGCAUUUGGCACAGUGGUAGCGCGCACGCUUCGCAUGCGUGAGGUCCAGGUUCAAUCCCCUGAAUGUCCA
rnacentral:tRNA from 1 species